GGGGCUGUGGCUCAGUGAUAGAGCACUUGCCUAGCAUGUAUGAAGCACUGGGUUUGAUUCUCAGCACCACA
rnacentral:tRNA from 1 species